rnacentral:rRNA from 3 species
GUGGGGAAUAUUGGACAAUGGGCGCAAGCCUGAUCCAGCCAUGCCGCGUGAGUGAUGAAGGCCCUAGGGUUGUAAAGCUCUUUCACCGGUGAAGAUAAUGACGGUAACCGGAGAAGAAGCCCCGGCUAACUUCGUGCCAGCAGCCGCGGUAAUACGAAGGGGGCUAGCGUUGUUCGGAUUUACUGGGCGUAAAGCGCACGUAGGCGGACUUUUAAGUCAGGGGUGAAAUCCCGGGGCUCAACCCCGGAACUGCCUUUGAUACUGGAAGUCUUGAGUAUGGUAGAGGUGAGUGGAAUUCCGAGUGUAGAGGUGAAAUUCGUAGAUAUUCGGAGGAACACCAGUGGCGAAGGCGGCUCACUGGACCAUUACUGACGCUGAGGUGCGAAAGCGUGGGGAGCAAACAGG